rnacentral:misc_RNA from 1 species
GAUGAAGAACGUAGUGAAAUGCGAUACGUAAUGUGAAUUGCAGAAUUCAGUGAAUCAUCGAAUCUUUGAACGCAUAUUGCGCUCUCUGGUAUUCCGGAGAGCAUGCUUGUUUGAGUAUCAGUAAACACCUCAACUCCCCUUUCUUUUUUUGAAAUGGGAGCUGGACUUGAGUGAUCCCAACGCUUUUCUCACCGAAAAGUGGCGGGUUACUUGAAAUGAAGGUGCAGCUGGACUUUUCUCUGAGCUAAAAGCAUAUCUAUUUAGUCUGCCUAAAAAACAGAUUAUUACCUUUGCUGCAGCUAACAUAAAGGAGAUUAGUUCUUGUGCUGACUGAUGCAGGAUUCACAGAGACAGCUUCGGCUGGCCUUUGUAAACUCGAUCUCAAAUCAAGUAAGACUACCCGCUGAACUUAAGCAUAUCAAUAAGCGGAGGA